ensembl:lncRNA
CUUUUUUUCAGAGAAACGCUUUACCUCUGCGUUCAAAACUUCUCUCUUUUUUAAAAUCAGAUGGUAGUGGGUGAGGACCUUUCAGGGACUGCUGCACUUUUGUUUUUUAUACAUUGUUGUCUCAGGGUGUGUAAAAUCUGGGUAAAUGUUUUUGUUUUUAUUUUUUAAAUUGCUGUUUUGUAACUGUGUUGGAAAAGCCAAGCUUAUGCCAGUGUAACACAACAUUGCCUUACUUGUAUUCAUGCCAACUUCAGUGACUUUCAGAUAGAGAUAAAGGUGCAGUAUGGGAGAACUUGUGUAUAUAAAAGCUUUAUAUUGCUGUGAUGAGCAAAAAAUCAAUGCAUUUAACCCUCUUUCUCUGAAUUGCAGCUUUAAGGUCAAAAUCUAGGUGUUGAGUCAAUUUCUAUUCAAUGGUAUGAUCCUAUCUCGACACUCUUUUCAACAAGCCCUCAUAGGAUCUGUUCAGGCCCUCAUAGAUAUAGACUUCAGGAGUAGAACUCACCCGGAAUCAUUGUGUUCUGAUGCAAUUUAAUUUCUGGUUAUGAUAAAAAGGCAGACAAAGCUGUAUAUGUGAAUUCACAAAAUGUAUGUUACACUCACACUUCUCAAAAACAUACUGCAUUACAAUGUUUACUUGGACUGUUAAUUGGCUCACUAGCUCAUGCUAGCCUAGUACCCAUUAGGUGACAAAGAUUUAAAAGAAAGUUUGUAGGAAAUGUCUUCACUCAGGUGUGUUUCUAUUUUAAAAUUGGCCCUUGUUUAGCAAGUGGCCACUUGUGUGAUGUAGGUGUUCAAGAAAUGAGGGGAUGUCUGAGGCAUGUUUAAAUAUUUAGUAUUGAAGCAGGGUCUGCUAUGUUACGGUUAGUGCCAUGUCAGAUAAAUGUUUGUUUCCAAUUUAAAACAAAAUGUAUGUUUAGUAGAAUUACAAUUUUGAGUGAUGACGUUGCUUUAUUUAGAAAUAAACAAUCUGAAAUCUGACUGUCCUGUAUAGUGGUUAUUUUCAGUUAUUUGUAGAUUAUAUGUGUACUUUAUAGAAAAG